UCGAGCGAGUCUGCCUUGAAGAUCGGAGUGCUUGCACUCUGUGAAACAAGAUACAGGCUAGCGGCGGACGGGUGAGUAACACGUGGGUAACCUGCCCAAGAGAUCGGGAUAACACCUGGAAACAGAUGCUAAUACCGGAUAACAACAGAUGAUGCCUAUCAACUGUUUAAAAGAUGGUUCUGCUAUCACUCUUGGAUGGACCUGCGGUGCAUUAGCUAGUUGGUAGGGUAACGGCCUACCAAGGCGAUGUUGCAUAGCCGAGUUGAGAGACUGAUCGGCCACAUUGGGACUGAGACACGGCCCAAACUCCUACGGGAGGCAGCAGUAGGGAAUCUUCCACAAUGGACGCAAGUCUGAUGGAGCAACGCCGCGUGAGUGAAGAAGGGUUUCGGCUCGUAAAGCUCUGUUGUUGGUGAAGAAGGACGGGGGUAGUAACUGACCUUUGUUUGACGGUAAUCAAUUAGAAAGUCACGGCUAACUACGUGCCAGCAGCCGCGGUAAUACGUAGGUGGCAAGCGUUGUCCGGAUUUAUUGGGCGUAAAGCGAGUGCAGGCGGUUCGAUAAGUCUGAUGUGAAAGCCUUCGGCUCAACCGGAGAAUUGCAUCAGAAACUGUCGAGCUUGAGUACAGAAGAGGAGAGUGGAACUCCAUGUGUAGCGGUGAAAUGCGUAGAUAUAUGGAAGAACACCGGUGGCGAAGGCGGCUCUCUGGUCUGUUACUGACGCUGAGGCUCGAAAGCAUGGGUAGCGAACAGGAUUAGAUACCCUGGUAGUCCAUGCCGUANACGAUGAGUGCUAAGUGUUGGGAGGUUUCCGCCUCUCAGUGCUGCAGCUAACGCAUUAAGCACUCCG
rnacentral:rRNA from 1 species